rnacentral:rRNA from 1 species
AUUGAACGCUGGCGGCAGGCCUAACACAUGCAAGUCGAGCGAGCGGCGGACGGGUGAGUAAUGUCUGGGAAACUGCCCGAUGGAGGGGGAUAACUACUGGAAACGGUAGCUAAUACCGCAUACCAUCAGAUGUGCCCAGAUGGGAUUAGCUAGUAGGUGGGGUAACGGCUCAACUAGGCGACGAGCCCUAGCUGGUCUGAGAGGAUGACCAGCCACACUUGAUCUGGGACACUGUCCAGACUCCUACGGGAGGCAGCAGUGGGGUAUAUUUCACUAUGGGCGCAAGCCUGAUGCAGCCAUGCCGCGUGUGUGAAGAAGGCCUUCGUAUUGUAAAGCACUUUCAGCGGGGAGGCGUUACCCGCAGAAGAAGCACCGGCUAACUCCGUGCCAGCAGCCGCGGUAAUUC